rnacentral:lncRNA from 1 species
GCAGCUGCGCGGCGUCCUUGGAGGCAGGUGCUGGCGGCAAGACGAGCUCUCGGAGGAUGCUGCGGCGCGGGGCGCGUCGCCCCCCUCAGUCCACCAGAGCCCGGAUACCUCAGAAAUUCGGCUCUGGGUCUGUGGGGAGCGAAAUGCAACCCAAACCCCGUUUUUCGAACCCCGCGCAAAUAAACACGCACAAGCACGCACACAGACGUCGCGCGGCGGCGCUCGCGCGCAGGUCCAGCCGCGGCUGGGUCGGGCGCGGCGGCCGGGCGCGAGGGAAGAGCCCAGGCCCGAGAGGGGUCGCCGCUUACGUCUCGCAGCCCGAGGGGAGGCCGCUCGGCCUCGGCCGCUCACAGGCGCGACGUAAAGGCCCGGCGUCACCGGCCCGGCUUAACGGUGCAACGGCUGGCCUGGGCCUGCAACUCUGGGGUCCCGGCCGGGCUGGAGCGGCCGCCGGAGAGACCUGGUAGGCGGGGCGCUUGGGGCAGGAAGGGAGCCGGGGAGGGAAAAGCGCGACUGUGAUUCGUACGGCUGGGCCCGGACCGUGAAGGGGACCGGGUUGCGGCUGCCCUCACACCGACCAGGUGGGACCGUCGGACUGCGGCCGCCCUUGGCUCAACUGGGUCGCCGACCUUGUUGAGGGGCGACCACUGCGGGGAGACCGAGAGCCUGCGGCUGGCGUUUGAGGCGGAUGGCAGUGCCCUGAGCGCGGCGGCUGGGUCUCGGUGACACUGACGACGGGAGGCGCGGUCGGAAGAGCGCGGGGCCGUCGCCUCUGGCUUAACAUAGCAGAUGCGCUGAGACUCCAACAGGUGGCUCCGUGGCGCAAUGGAUAGCGCAUUGGACUUCUAGAGGCUGAAGGCAUUCAAAGGUUCCGGGUUCGAGUCCCGGCGGAGUCGU